UACGUAGGGCGCAAGCGUUGUCCGGAAUUAUUGGGCGUAAAGAGCUCGUAGGUGGUUUGUUACGUCUGCUGUGAAAACCUAGGGCUUAACCCUGGGCCUGCAGUGGAUACGGGCAGACUAGAGGUAGGUAGGGGAGAAUGGAAUUCCCGGUGUAGCGGUGAAAUGCGCAGAUACCAGGAGGAACACCGGUGGCGAAGGCGGGUCUCUGGGCCGAUAUUGACGCUGAGGAGCGAAAGCGUGGGGAGCGAACAGG
rnacentral:rRNA from 1 species